AGUGAACGCUGGCGGUAGGCCUAACACAUGCAAGUCGAACGGCAGCACAGUAAGAGCUUGCUCUUACGGGUGGCGAGUGGCGGACGGGUGAGGAAUACAUCGGAAUCUACUUUUUCGUGGGGGAUAACGUAGGGAAACUUACGCUAAUACCGCAUACGACCUACGGGUGAAAGCAGGGGAUCUUCGGACCUUGCGCGAUUGAAUGAGCCGAUGUCGGAUUAGCUAGUUGGCGGGGUAAAGGCCCACCAAGGCGACGAUCCGUAGCUGGUCUGAGAGGAUGAUCAGCCACACUGGAACUGAGACACGGUCCAGACUCCUACGGGAGGCAGCAGUGGGGAAUAUUGGACAAUGGGCGCAAGCCUGAUCCAGCCAUACCGCGUGGGUGAAGAAGGCCUUCGGGUUGUAAAGCCCUUUUGUCGGGAAGGAAAAGCAGCAGGUUAAUACCCCGCUGUUCUGACGGUACCCAAAGAAUAAGCACCGGCUAACUUCGUG
rnacentral:rRNA from 1 species